UACGGAGGAUGCGAGCGUUAUCCGGAUUUAUUGGGUUUAAAGGGUGCGUAGGCGGUCUGUUAAGUCAGCGGUAAAAUUGCGGGGCUCAACCCCGUCGAGCCGUUGAAACUGGCAGACUUGAGUUGGCGAGAAGUACGUGGAAUGCGCGGUGUAGCGGUGAAAUGCAUAGAUAUCGCGCAGAACUCCGAUUGCGAAGGCAGCGUACCGGCGCCACACUGACGCUGAGGCACGAAAGCGUGGGGAUCGAACAGG
rnacentral:rRNA from 1 species